CUCGCACAUUCAAACAUGUCGGCUCAUAUUUGAACACAAACAAAUGGGGACUCCGCCGCCGUAGAGCUAACUGUUCGGGCAUUUGGCUGGUUAACAGCAGCAACGCGGCGGGCCAAUCAGAGCGCAGCAGUAGAGGAGCUGUCUGCUAUUAGAGGCACGGCUCAGGAGUCCUUCAACAGAGAGCAGAGAGAGGGGGCUGAGCGCUCUCGGCAGCCAUUUUCCUGAAACAGGACUCAAUGGCCUAUUCCUUUGUUCCAAAAGGGAUCUUACACUUGAUUUCCUCAUCUCUCACGGACUAUGAUAAAUCUAUGAUUCCUCCUUUUAAAGGAUUGAGAAGAAGGAAGAGAAUGUACUGGAUGUAAUACCCUGUGACAUUUUGAGCCUUUUUUCCUCUGCCUGGAAUCCAUCUUUGUCUUAACUAGGUCAUGGCACACCCAAUAUAAUAGUAUUUAUAAGAAAAGAAAACCAAAAUGUUGUGAAUAAACAGCUGUAUGGUUUUGGAGAUGUUGAAUUAAGAGAAACAACACAGUUUGAAGUAACAAAAUGUGUAAUGGCAGGUUGCACUUAUGGCCUUGUAUGAGUAGCAAUGAGUAAGUCCAACUCUUUUAUAAUCAUUUAACAAUUUUGGUAAUUUAGUAAUGUAAAAAAAAUGAGGCAUGCAGUUACUGUUAUUAAAAAGUUUUCUGUCAAUUCA